rnacentral:rRNA from 1 species
CGAACGGUAGCGGGGAAGAAGCUUGCUUCUUCUGCCGACGAGUGGCGAACGGGUGAGUAAUAUAUCGGAACGUGCCAAGUAAUGGGGGAUAACUAUCCGAAAGGAUGGCUAAUACCGCAUACGCUCUACGGAGGAAAGCAGGGGAUCUUCGGACCUUGCGUUAUUUGAGCGGCCGAUAUCUGAUUAGCUAGUUGGUGGGGUAAAAGCCUACCAAGGCAACGAUCAGUAGCGGGUCUGAGAGGAUGAUCCGCCACACUGGGACUGAGACACGGCCCAGACUCCUACGGGAGGCAGCAGUGGGGAAUUUUGGACAAUGGGCGAAAGCCUGAUCCAGCCAUGCCGCGUGUAUGAAGAAGGCCUUAGGGUUGUAAAGUACUUUUGUUAGGGAGGAAAAGCUACAGGCUAAUAUCCUGUAGUYAUGACAGUACCUAAAGAAUAAGCACCGGCUAACUACGUGCCAGCAGCCGCGGUAAUACGUAGGGUGCAAGCGUUAAUCGGAAUUACUGGGCGUAAAGCGAGUGCAGGCGGUUUGUUAAGCUAGAUGUGAAAGCCCCGGGCUCAACCUGGGAAUUGCGUUUAGAACUGGCAAGCUAGAGUGUGUCAGAGGGGGGUAGAAUUCCACGUGUAGCAGUGAAAUGCGUAGAGAUGUGGAGGAAUACCGAUGGCGAAGGCAGCCCCCUGGGAUAACACUGACGCUCAUACUCGAAAGCGUGGGUAGCAAACAGGAUUAGAUACCCUGGUAGUCCACGCCCUAAACGAUGACAUUAGCUGUUGGGGAAUUAAAAGUCCUUGGUAGCGUAGCUACGCGUGAAAUUGUCCGCCUGGGGAGUACGGUCGCAAGAUUAAAACUCAAGGAAUUGACGGGGACCCGCACAAGCGGUGGAUGAUGUGGAUUAAUUCGAUGCACGCGAGAACCUUACCUAGCCUUGACAUGUACGGAAGUCCGAUGAAAGUUGGAU